rnacentral:piRNA from 1 species
UUCAUAAUGCCGAUGUGACUCUACGUA